UUUCCGUAGGCGAACCUGCGGAAGGAUCACUACUGAGUGAGGGCCCUCUGGGUCCAACCUCCCACCCGUGUUUAUUAUACCUUGUUGCUUCGGUGAGCCCGCCUCACGGCCGCCGGGGGGCAUCUGCCCCCGGGCCCGCGCCCACCGAAGACACCUAGAACUCUGUAUGAAGAUUGCAGUCUGAGCAAAAACUAAAUAAGUUAAAACUUUCAACAACGGAUCUCUUGGUUCCG
rnacentral:misc_RNA from 1 species